rnacentral:rRNA from 1 species
GAAAAGCCCAGCACCGAAGCCUGUGGCCAUUUGGUUACUAGGCAAUGUGGUGUUUAGGUCAUUCCGCGUUGGCGCUGCUCCAUUCCAAGUCCAGCAAUGAAUACGGUAAUGCUGACAUAGCCCAAAGCGGGUGAAAGGCCCGUGGGAGUGGAGAUGCAGAAAUGACAGUGCCUUCCUGGAUAGACCUUGGAGUCGGGUUGUUUGUGAAUGCAGCCCAAAGUGGGUGGUAAACUCCAUCCAAGGCUAAAUACUAACACGAGUCCGAUAGCGAACAAGUACCGUGAGGGAAAGUUGAAAAGUACUUUGAAGAGAGAGUAAACAGUGCGUGAAACCGCUCAGAGGUAAACGGGUGGAGUUGAACUGUGAACUCUGUGGAUUUAGCUGGUGAGCAUGGUUUGAGCUUGGUCAAAUUGGCUGAAGUGCGGAGUCUGCGGAUUA